UGCAAGACACAAGGCUCCUCGCCUGCACGAGCCUAAACUGCAUGGCACAAUGCUCCUGGUCUGCACGAGCAUAAAAGGCAACACCAAAGCUCCUUGCCUGCACGAGCCUAAACUGCAUGGCACAAUGCUCCUUGUCUGCACGAGCUUAAACUGCACGAACCAAAGCUCCUUGCCUGCACGAUCUGAAACUGCAACACGGCACCAAAUGCUCCUUGCCUGCAUGAGUUAAAACUGCAAACGGCACAAAAAAAGAAAAUACCAAAAAAAAAAAAUAUGUAUGUAUUUGAACUACGUUACGACUUGAUCUCUUUCUUAGGAAGGGUACGUAGGCAGCUUGAGCAUUCAAUUUCAAGUUCAGUCACAUCAAAAUAAAAAUAAAAAUAAAUAUAUAUAUAUAUAAAUGCUUUAUUAAGAAGGAAAUUUUAUUACCAAAAAAAAAAAAAAAAAAAGAAAAGAGAAAAGGAAUACACACGUUAUUCUUUGUUUACAAUAAAUAAAUAAAUAAGUAAAUACAUAUGUUAUUAUGUAUUCAAAAAAAAAAAUAAAAAAAAAUAAAAAAAAAAUAAAAAAAAAGAGGAAAUAAUUAUAUAUAUAUAUGUCCUCUAUCCAGCCAGCCCAUCAGAAGGAGGUCGUCCAAACCCAAUGGCAGUGACCAGGCCCAAGCCUAUUGUCCAAAUCAGGCCCCGGCCCAUCUUCCGAAAGUCCUAAAUCCCUCAUCCUUCCACUUCAUUCCGUGACCUGCAUCUCAACUUCAUCCCCUUCGUCUCUGCCGCUGACGUUGACAAGCUUCUCCGAUGCGGCGAAUCGCCGAAAACUAGCAGCUACAAAUCCGCUAGCAGCAUCCGCGAGCUC
rnacentral:lncRNA from 1 species